AUGUCUUCCUCCUCGAGUGCCGUCCCUUCCAGCCUCAAUAGCCAAAUCACAGAGAAGUUGUCUUGCACGAACUACGUGCUAUGGCGUACGCAGAUCACACCUCAACUGCGCGGCGCCGACGUCUACGGCUACGUUGACGGCACCACACCGGAGCCGACGGAACUCCUCAUCACCACCAAAGAUGGCAAGGAAACUUCAUCGCCCAACCCUCUCCACCCUAUAUGGGUCAGGGAGGAUCAGCAGGUCCUUGGCUACCUGCUGGCCAACCUCACGAAGGAGGUCUUGGUCACGGUGACCACGGUCACCACGGCGAGCGCGCUCUGGACGACGCUUGCUGCCAUGUUCUCGUCGCACUCGGCGAGCCGCAUCAACAACAUCCGCACCUCCCUCAUCAACGCGCAGAAGGGUAAUCUCUCGAUUGCCUCUUACUUUGCUGCUAUGCGAGGAUACGCGGAUGAGCUCGCCGCGGCGGGCAAGCCCAUCCAGGAUGAUGAGCUCGUCUCCUACAUCAUCCAU
rnacentral:rRNA from 1 species